rnacentral:rRNA from 1 species
CGAUAACGAACGAGACCUCGACCUACUAAAUAGUUGGCUUAACCCUUUUGGGUUUGGACUAACUUCUUAGAGGGACUUUUGGUGAGUAGCCAAAGGAAGUUCGAGGCAAUAACAGGUCUGUGAUGCCCUUAGAUGUUCUGGGCCGCACGCGCGCUACACUGAUCGGUUCAUCGAGCAUAAAACCUUGACUGACAAGUCUGGGUAAUCUUUUGAAAACCGGUCGUGCUGGGGAUAGAUCAUUGCAAUUAUUGAUCUUCAACGAGGAAUUCCUAGUAAACGCGAGUCAUCAACUCGCAUUGAUUACGUCCCUGCCCUUCGUACACACCGCCCGUCGCUACUACCGAUUGAAUGGCU